rnacentral:misc_RNA from 1 species
AAGUCGUAACAAGGUUUCCGUAGGUGAACCUGCGGAAGGAUCACUAGUGAUUAAAUCGAGAGCGUCUUCAUUGACCUCUCACCCUUCACAUCCACAUACACCUGUGCACCGUUUGGCUCUUUUAAAAGACGUAAGUCUGCAAAGAGAGUCAUCAAUUUUAUACAUACCCCAGUCUUAUGAAUGCAACAGUUUUAAUAAACAAAAUAAAACUUUUAACAACGGAUCUCUUGGUUCUG